UGCAUCCACUUUUCUCAUCUUAGCAUGCUUUCCAGUAGGCCAGGCCCGGCCUCUUACAUUAUCGCCUGUCAGGAUUGGUGGUUUAUCUCACACAGGCCUGGAACGCCAGCUAUUGGCAUACCGGUAGAUGUACGGAGUACCCAAGCGUUCGAUUUUGAAAUUGGUCCUUGCGGCGCCGAGCGAGCAGAAUAGGCGCCUUGGCUACCGGUAAGGCAUACGCGUCCGUCCUUAAAACAUUACAGAGCAUGGCUGCAAGGGUUUCAGGUUUCAACCGUUGUGUGUGAAAUGAAGACAUGAGUUAUGAUGUGUAAGAGGCUAAGAAGAGAUUCAGGAGGUUCUGUGUUUCACGAUGGUUCGGCAUUGCCCACUAAGAGCCCGGGAAGGCUUAAGAGGCAGGCGCCACGGACCGGGGGCCUGCACCUGCCCAAUCAGCCCUCCUUCCCGUUACGAUCUUUUCGCGGUUUAUCUCGACCUCUUUCCUGACCUGUUUGAAGUUUCGUCUUUCUUUGAUAGCAUCAUGUUUCAUUGGCCCACCGCUGCUGGUGAAAGUGUUUCUGAGACCCAAAUUGUCAGGGACUAUUUGCCGAGCUUUUGCUACGUGCCUCAACCGGAGACCGCCAGGCUCCAGCAAAGAUACAAGGUUUUGACGAUAAACAGUGGCUUGCUGUAAAACAUGCCAAAUCUUACUCAUGCCGUUUCGUCUCCAAAUGAAAUGAAUCAAUCAUUUU
rnacentral:lncRNA from 1 species